rnacentral:tRNA from 3 species
GCCUCUUUAGCUCAGCUGGUAGAGCAACUGACUUGUAAUCAGUAGGUCGCUGGUUCGAUCCCGGCAAGGGGCUCCA